rnacentral:rRNA from 1 species
CCCUUAGAUGUCCUGGGCCGCACGCGCGUUACACUGAUGCAUUCAACGAGUUUUGUUUGUUCCUUGGCCGAGAGGCCUGGGCAAUCUUUUGAACUUGCAUCGUGAUAGGGAUAGAUUAUUGCAAUUAUUAAUCUUGAACGAGGAAUUCCUAGUAAACGCAGAUCAUCAAUCUGCAUUGAUUACGUCCCUGCCCUUUGUACACACCGCCCGUCGCACCUACCGAUUGAAUGGUCCGGUGAAGCCUCGGGAUUGUGGUUGGUUUCCUUUAUUGGAGAUUGAUUGCGAGAACUUGUCUAAACCUUAUCAUUUAGAGGAAGGUGAAGUCGUAACA